CAUCGACACUUCGUCGGUCUCCGGUUUUCCGACCCGUCCCCCGUCGGAAACCGGAUGGUAGCGGUAGUCUCAUUCCCCUCUCCGGGCUGCCGCUGUGUAGUGACAUGGCCGCUGUGGUAAUCCCCUCACCACAGCGGCCAAUC
rfam:Brucella melitensis biovar Abortus 2308 chromosome I, complete sequence, strain 2308